UAAUGCUGAGGCCAGAGAGACCAAAGAAGAGGAGGAUGAAGGAGCUGUACUCACACAGUGCCUCUCCUCCUGGCCAUCGGUUCUGCAGCUGAAGAAAUUAUUUAAGAACCUGAUUAUGGUUUCAGGAAGCAGAGUGGCUGCAGCUUUCAUCUGAUCUGGGAGGGAAGAAAGAAAGAAGAUUGAAGCUGCAACCAUGUCAUGAAGGAUUGCACUUUAGGACUGUUUGCUUUAGGAUGGAGUGUCUGUGUGCUUCCCAUCCUUUCAUAGAUAAACUGAAUUUCACAUGCACGACAUGUGCUGUUGAAUCCUGGGAAUGAUCUCAGAAAAAAUGAUUACUGAGAUUAUCAUUGCAGUGCUAGGUGAUGUUACUGCAGAGACCCAGCUGGCUGAGGAAAUGCUGCUUUGUCCAUCUGCAAGUGUGAUCAGCUUACUCAGUGUUUGCUGCUGGACCAACAAAUGCACAAGACUAUUCUGUCCUGGUGGCUCCCACAGCACUGAUUACAGCUCUGUCUGAUUAGACCUACUUGGUUAUUAAUCUCUGGAAGAAUUUUCAGCUCUAAAGGUCUCUUGGAACAGAGAGGAGCUUAACACACACACAUCUGCUCUGUGCAACAGCAGACACAUCUCUUCAUGCUGUAGAGACAACAUGAGAACUGGAGGCUUUCAUCUUGGAUGGACUUCAACAGGGUGAAAGGAGUAAAUGCUGGCGCCACAACUCAUCUGAGAACACCUCUCUUGUCACAUGAUCACACUUGUCAGAAACCAGUUUGGAAAAGCGAGUGCUCCUGUUUCUGUACCCUCUGUCCUUGAGCCCGGUCCGUCUUUAUUUCGGCACGGCAGCCCUGUUGUGUCACAGCCCCGCUCACGAUGCUUCAUUGGCUGAGAAUGUGGAACGUGUGGUUUUGGCUGGGAGCGCUCCCCGGCUCGCCGAGGCUGUUGCAUAAAACGCCGGGGGUGUUUUUCUGCUGUGUCAUCCACUGACCUCAGAGACAGGAGAACUGAACCAGCUCUCCCCUACGAGUGGUAAUGCUUGUGUUAUGGUUUUGCUUGGCUGGAAAACUCUUUGGGCACAUUGCAAUUUUGUCCCAGCAGAACAAACCAUGAAACGUAACAAGAGACUUGGAUAACCUCUAGCCUCUGUGUGCGCAUGCUUUUUCCCUAAAGAAAUAAAUGGAAUGGUGCUUUACACAUCACUACCACUGCUCCUGAACUGAGCUGAUUCACAAUCCACUGCAGGCAGUUGUAGGACUCUGCUUUACUGAUGGAUCCAUCCUCAAUGUGAAUUGGAAGAGCUUACAGUGCUCUACUUCCUGAUCUUCACUAGGGAUGAGAGGGGAAGAAUUUAAAUCUGGUGGCCAUACGUUGUUGAACUUCCCAUUUUAUGUUUCCCCUCCUACCUACUCAAUUUUCUUUAUAAUUUUCUUAAUACAGGAAAAGAGCUGACACAAAUAAUAUUAAGUGUUAUUUUUCAUAUUAUUUCUUACUGUGGGUUUUUUCCAUCUACAUCUGCUUCCUUUAUUUGUCAUGUUAUUGAUUUAUGAGUUGAAAAUUCAAUCACAAUAUUUUUCAAUGACCAUUGAAAUUCUUCUGCAGUCUCCAGUGCACUCUGAAAUACUUCUGAAUGCUGCAUAACUUCUUGUAAUUUAUCAUGUGGUAGAGGGGCAUUAACUAAUUCUACUGUCUGCUCAAAAGAUUUAAAGAAAACCCUUAAUCUCAUUUUUUACUUAUUAAAUCAUGAUAAUGUAGAUCUUGCACAGGUAAUGAUAACAUGAAUUAAUUAAUUAAUUAAUUAAUAACCAUCCUACCAGCAAAUAAAAUUGCGGAUAAUAUGUCUGUACACUGUUUAAUGCUUAUGUGCCCAAGUUUACAUCCAGUUUACUUGUAAGUUUAAUCCUUGCUUUUAGGCUAAAAGGAGGAGUGUAUUGUCAAUAUGUGGUUGAAAUGAGUAAGUUAGUGGUUGCAUAGAUGUGUGAGAACACUGAAGUGGUAGGACUUCUCUCUAGCAAUAACUUGCACGAAACAUCCCAGACAGUAACAACAUAGGAAAGUGAAUCCUUUCAGGGCUGUUCACUGGGGCUGUUUAAUUUAUGGGCAUACAUGUGGAUCAUAUGACGACGCACUUGUUUAACACCUGAAUUCCACUCAGAGCUGUUUAAAAAUUGUUCCAUUAGCAAUGGAUUCUGGCAUUUGACCUAGUCCUAUCAGCACUGGACACUUACCAGAAAAGUAAUUAUUAACUUAUGUCAAACAGAAUUACAGGCAAACCGAGUCUCCCUCAAAAGCAGCACAGGAGGGAAAGCAGUUUAAGCUGCAGAAGAUCCCUUUGGGUAAACUCAGAAAAGGCAAGAAAUAGGCAAUCUAUCCCUGUUGGGAAAUAAUUUGAAGAAGAAAAAAUUUGAAGGAGUAAUCAUUUUCCCAGCCAAAGUCUGUGCCAUACAGUCAGCCAAAUAACAAUGAAUCAAUAUCAAUAUAUCUAGUUCUGGAUAUAUACAAAUACAGAAACUCUCACAAAUUAUGUCAAUCAGGAUUUUGACUGCAAUGAUUGAAAUCCCUAUUUGGCUCAUGCUUAACUUUAAGCCUGUGAGUCAGUCCAAUGAAUGAUAUUACAAUUAGACAGAUUAUGCAGAAAACUGGUCAAACCCAUUUAUUUUCCUAUUAAUUAAGCCUGUUUUACACUCCCUGUUAUUUAAAAUGCAAAAAAUUUCUGAUUGAUUGUGGCUAAGAGAUGUGCAUUGUUUUUGUUAUAUGCAGUCUUCCUGCAGCCCCAUAUAAAAUGUACAUCGUUAUGCUUAUUUAACAUAUCUAGAAGAUAAAUAACAUACCUAUGUCAACAGUGUAUGUGCGUGUUAAUUUUUCUUCCCCUGAAAAUGAAAUGUAAAAUCUUUAUUUUUUCAAGCUGUGUUAAACAAAAACUCCUCUGUCAUGCCAGCUCUGUUCUCUGUAAGUGCUGCUUGUGCCUCAGAAUCCUUUGUGGACUCCUAUUGACUGCAGGGACUCUACUGGUGUAUGGCUCAUAAGCCAUACAUAACUUCUUUGUCACUCUGGCAAGUCUACUGUAGGGAAGAAUGAUCUUAUUAAAUUAAUUUCUAACUGGAACAUAUCAGUGAGCUUCUAGUGUAGGUCACAUAAUCCAUUAGGAAUUAUUUUUAUUUUAACUUUUGUUAUUGAUCUUGUUGAACCUGCUGUAUCAGACAGAGAUAUUCUCCUGUAUGCAGCAGUUACUGCUGUUGAGUGCAGAAUCUGAGUCACUGCUUUGCUUGUCUCAGCUGGGGGAUGUUCUUUGUGUAUCUCAUAAUGACUUGCCCUGCUGACUCCUUUGAUUCAAUCUUUUGAAAAGGACAGUGUUGCUCUUUCCUGUUUGUAAAUCAGACCAUGUUGGGCUGAGGGCUGUACUCACUAGAUUUGUAAACAAAUGCUGCUGGGCUUAGACUUUUAUCUGCUUUUAAUCCCACAUCUUAAAUAUGGGAUGCAAUGACUAUUGCCCAUUAGGUGCUAUCUGCAAAUAGCUUUUGUGUGACUGUGUCUAAGGCUGAUCUUUCUGGUUGUUGCUGGAGCAAUGGCCCAGGAGCUGGACAGAGGACAAGUAAAAUGGCUUUUCUUGAGGAAAAUGCUGUGAAAGACAGCAAGAAGCAGAACGGGACACAGCUGCAGUUUGUGCCUUAAAACUCAUGACUGGUCAGCACUGGAGAUCCAGCUCAUACUGGGAGAGAAGAACUGAUUGAAUUCUCCCAGAGAGAGCCCAGUAAUCAUGUAACCAUGGUACAGAAAAUUCCCAAGACUACAGAGCAGUAUAGGUGUACAGACUAAACACUGGGGUGGGCUUAUGAUGGAGUGAUAUCUGCAAAGCAGCAAGGUUCUCUGCAGAGGAGUUCCUUUUGUGUAGCUGAUCCCUAUAUCUGCAGUUUUGAAAAUAAUACCUUCCUGUGGAAGAAGUUAAAAUAAAGCUAAAACUUGAAGAGACUCCAGCUUCCUUUAUUAUCCCUGAAAAUUGUCACUGAUUCAAAGAAAAACUCAAAGCAUUCUGUAAUGUUUUUCUCUCCAUGGUUUUGGCAGCAUUACACUGCUGCUGAAGCUCUCCAUCUGUUAAAUGUCUGGAAGCCCAUGUAGAUAUUACACAUAACUAGGGCAGUCACUUCCCUUUGUGUCUGCUCCAGCAACCCAGCACGAUUUGUGCAAUCUAGAA